rnacentral:rRNA from 1 species
GGGGAAUAUUGCGCAAUGGGGGGAACCCUGACGCAGCAACGCCGCGUGGAGGACGAAGGCCUUCGGGUCGUAAACUCCUGUCUUCAGGGACGAUAAUGACGGUACCUGAGGAGGAAGCCACGGCUAACUACGUGCCAGCAGCCGCGGUAAUACGUAGGUGGCGAGCGUUGUCCGGAAUUACUGGGCGUAAAGGGUGCGUAGGCGGAAUCUUAAGUCAGAUGUGAAAAUCCAGGGCUCAACUUUGGAAUUGCAUUUGAAACUGAGGUUCUAGAGUGCAGGAGAGGGAAGCGGAAUUCCUAGUGUAGCGGUGAAAUGCGUAGAUAUUAGGAAGAACACCAGUGGCGAAGGCGGCUUUCUGGACUGUAACUGACGCUGAGGCACGAAAGCGUGGGGAGCAAAC